GCUGGCGAUGAUGACACACUUGCCCUCACUGAGAACACUGUUCCAUAAUGAGCCUCACCGUGUGUGCAAACGAGCUGAGCCAGA
rnacentral:snoRNA from 1 species